rfam:Chryseobacterium molle strain DSM 18016 genome assembly, contig: Ga0131196_102
AUGUUAUCGAGAAAGGUGGAGAGAUUAGACUCUGUGAAACCUUGGCAACCCUUCGGAAACGAAGAAGGUGCUAAAUUCUAUCCCGAGGUUUUCGGGAAAAGAUAACCA